rnacentral:tRNA from 1 species
GCAUCCGUAGUUUAAUGGAUAGAAUGUAAGAUUCCGGUUCUUACGGUACAGGUUCGAUUCCUGUCGGGUGCACUA